GGAGUCGGCCAGGCAAUCGCUGCGUUUCCCUCUUUGGGGGAGACGGGGAGGAAAGUCCGGGCUCCUUCGGACACGGUGCCAGGUAACCCCUGGGGGGCGCGAGCCCACGGAAAGUGCAACAGAAAGAUACCGCCGACGCGCAGGUGGGCCGCAAGGCCGAUCGACGCAGGUAAGGGUGAAAUGGUGCGGUAAGAGCGCACCGCGCGGGUGGCAACAUCCUCGGCACGGCAAACCCCACCGGGAGCAAGGCCAAAUAGGGAAGUCGCAGGGCAACCUGCAGCGCCGUGUCCGAGCGUGACUUCCGGGUAGGCUGCUUGAGGUCUUCGGUGACGAAGAUCCCAGAGGAAUGAUUGCCCUCGACAGAACCCGGCUUAUCGGCCGACUCCGUUC
rnacentral:RNase_P_RNA from 1 species